AGUCACUGACAUUAGAUACCCGUGUAGUCCAGGGUGUAAACGCUGCAGACUUGGUGUUGGGGGCCCUUUGGGGGCAUUCAGUGCCGGAGAGAAGUUGUUAAGUCUGCUACUUGGGAGUACGUCCGCAAGGAUGAAACUUAAAGGAAUUGGCGGGGGAGCACCGCAACGGGAGGAGCGUGCGGUUUAAUUGGAUUCAACACCGUAAAACUCACCAGGGAAGACUGUUACAUGAAGGCCGAGAUGAAGACUCUGCUAGAUUUUCAG
rnacentral:rRNA from 1 species